rnacentral:rRNA from 1 species
UACGAAGGGGGCUAGCGUUGUUCGGAUGUACUGGGCGUAAAGCGCACGCAGGUGGCUGAGUCAGUCGAUUGUGAAAGCCCUGGGCUUAACCUGGGAAUUGCAGUCGAUACUACUCAGCUAGAGUAUGGGAGAGGGUAGUGGAAUUCCCGGUGUAGCGGUGAAAUGCGUAGAUAUCGGGAGGAACAUCAGUGGCGAAGGCGGCUACCUGGCCCAAUACUGACACUCAGGUGCGACAGCGUGGGGAGCAAACAGG